GUGGGGAAUCUUGCGCAAUGGGCGAAAGCCUGACGCAGCCAUGCCGCGUGAAUGAUGAAGGUCUUAGGAUUGUAAAAUUCUUUCACCGGGGACGAUAAUGACGGUACCCGGAGAAGAAGCUCCGGCUAACUUCGUGCCAGCAGCCGCGGUAAUACGAAGGGGGCUAGCGUUGCUCGGAAUUACUGGGCGUAAAGGGCGCGUAGGCGGACAGCUUAGUCAGAGGUGAAAGCCCAGGGCUCAACCUUGGAAUUGCCUUUGAUACUGGCUGUCUUGAGUUUGGGAGAGGUGAGGGGAACUCCGAGUGUAGAGGUGAAAUUCGUAGAUAUUCGGAAGAACACCAGUGGCGAAGGCGACGCACUGGCCCAAUACUGACGCUGAGGCGCGAAAGCGUGGGGAGCAAACAGGAUUAGAUACCCUGGUAGUCC
rnacentral:rRNA from 1 species